rnacentral:rRNA from 1 species
AUUGAACGCUGGCGGCAGGCCUAACACAUGCAAGUCGAGCGGUAGCACAGAGAGCUUGCUCUCGGGUGACGAGCGGCGGACGGGUGAGUAAUGUCUGGGAAACUGCCUGAUGGAGGGGGAUAACUACUGGAAACGGUAGCUAAUACCGCAUAACGUCGCAAGACCAAAGUGGGGGACCUUCGGGCCUCAUGCCAUCAGAUGUGCCCAGAUGGGAUUAGCUAGUAGGUGGGGUAACGGCUCACCUAGGCGACGAUCCCUAGCUGGUCUGAGAGGAUGACCAGCCACACUGGAACUGAGACACGGUCCAGACGCCUACGGGAGGCAGCAGUGGGGAAUAUUGCACAAUGGGCGCAAGCCUGAUGCAGCCAUGCCGCGUGUGUGAAGAAGGCCUUCGGGUUGUAAAGCACUUUCAGCGGGGAGGAAGGCGGUGAGGUUAAUAACCUCACCGAUUGACGUUACCCGCAGAAGAAGCACCGGCUAACUCCGUGCCAGCAGCCGCCGUAAUAC